rnacentral:rRNA from 1 species
UGGGGAAUAUUGGNNAANGGACCAAAAGUCUGAUCCAGCAAUUCUGUGUGCACGAUGACGUUUUUCGGAAUGUAAAGUGCUUUCAGUUGGGAAGAAAAAAAUGACGGUACCAACAGAAGAAGUGACGGCUAAAUACGUGCCAGCAGCCGCGGUAAUACGUAUGUCACAAGCGUUAUCCGGAUUUAUUGGGCGUAAAGCGCGUCUAGGUGGUUAUGUAAGUCUGAUGUGAAAAUGCAGGGCUCAACUCUGUAUUGCGUUGGAAACUGCAUGACUAGAGUACUGGAGAGGUAAGCGGAACUACAAGUGUAGAGGUGAAAUUCGUAGAUAUUUGUAGGAAUGCCGAUGGGGAAGCCAGCUUACUGGACAGAUACUGACGCUAAAGCGCGAAAGCGUGGGUAGCAAACAGGAUUAGAUACCCUGGUAGUCCACGCCGUAAACGAUGAUUACUAGGUGUUGGGGGUCGAACCUCAGCGCCCAAGCUAACGCGAUAAGUAAUCCGCCUGGGGAGUACGUACGCAAGUAUG